rnacentral:rRNA from 1 species
AGCCGGGCACUCUGGCGGGACUGCCAUCGACAAGAUGGAGGAAGGUGGGGAGUGACGUCAAGUCAUCAUGGCCCUUAUGUCCAGGGCGACGACACGUGCUACAGUGGCCGGCACAGCGGGAAGCGAGGCAGUGAUGCCAAGCGGAUCCCUUAAAGCCGGUCUCAGUUCGGAUUGAAGUCUGCAACUCGACUUCAUGAAGCUGGAAUCGCUAGUAAUCGCAGAUCAGCCAAGCUGCGGUGAAUACGUUCCCGGGCCUU